rnacentral:rRNA from 1 species
CACGUAUUUAGCCGUCACUUCUUCUGUUGGUACCGUCAUUUUUUCUUCCCAACUGAAAGCACUUUACAUUCCGAAAACUUCAUCGUGCACACAGAAUUGCUGGAUCAGACUCUUGGUCCAUUGCCCAAUAUUCCCCACUGCUGCCUCCCGUAGGAGUAAGGGCCGUGUCUCAGUCCCCUUGUGGCCGUUCACCCUCUCAGGCCGGCUACCCAUCAUCGCCUUGGUGAGCCGUUACCUCUCCAACUAGCUAAUGGGACGCAAAGCUCUCUCACAGUGCAUUUUAGCUUUCAUAAUUAUACGAUGCCAUAUAAUCAUAAUAUCAGGUAUUAGCAUUCGUUUCCAAAUGUUGUCCCUAGCUGUGAGGCAAGUUCUUUACGCGUUACUCACCCGUCCGCCACCCAAACCGAGUUCAAGUUGACUUGCAUGUGUUAAGCAUUCUGUCAGCGUUCAUCCUGAGCCAGGAUCAAACUCU